UACGUAGGGUGCGAGCGUUAAUCGGAAUUACUGGGCGUAAAGGGUUCGUAGGUGGCCACUUAAGUCAGACGUGAAAUCCCUCAGCUUAACUGGGGAACUGCGUCUGAUACUGAGUGGCUUGAGUGCAGGAGAGGAAUGCGGAAUUCCAGGUGUAGCGGUGAAAUGCGUAGAUAUCUGGAGGAACACCGGUGGCGAAGGCGGCAUUCUGGACUGUAACUGACACUGAGGAACGAAAGCCAGGGGAGCAAACGGG
rnacentral:rRNA from 1 species